GCCCAUAGCUCAGUGGAUACAGCAUGUGCUUUGCACACAAAGGUCCCAGGUUCAAUCCCUGGCAUCUCCA